rnacentral:misc_RNA from 1 species
AACGCAAAUUGCGCUUUCGGGAUAGACCUGGAAGCACGUGUCUUUGAGCAUCGAUUCUACAAACCCUCGGCGGCGUGCUUUGUGAAAACGAAGCUACGUGCAGUCGGAAAAUGAGCCUUCUCGCUUAACCAGCGAGUGGCUUUAAAUGUAGCGAGUUGUCACGGGUUAAGGCGAGUGCUGAGGUGGCUUGCCACCUCUAGCCUUGUGUAGUUGGCUUAGUGCCGCUAACCAGUGAGCGUCGCUAGUGACGUGGAUAAUUUCGCUUCGUGCGAAUCCUUCCAAUACGUGACUAGGCGGACGAGUCUGGGGUGCUAAGCUCGCACUUGCUGCGAAAAGCAUGGUCUUCAGGUUGACAACGGCCUCGUUUGCCCAGUGCGCUGGUCAAACAACUAUGUCUUGAAUUAGAUCUCAAAUGAGACGAGAAUACCCGCCUAACUUAA